CAGUCGCCGCGGGAAUACGUAGGUGGCAAGCGUUGACCGGAAUUAUUGGGCGUAAAGCGCGCGCAGGUGGUUUAAUAAGUCUGAUGUGAAAGCCCACGGCUCAACCGUGGAGGGUCAUUGGAAACUGUUAAACUUGAGUGCGGGAGAGAAAAGUGGAAUUCCUAGUGUAGCGGUGAAAUGCGUAGAGAUUAGGAGGAACACCAGUGGCGAAGGCGGCUUUUUGGCCUGUAACUGACACUGAGGCGCGAAAGCGUGGGGAGCAAACAGGAUUAGAUACCCCAGUAGUCCCUGUCUCUUAUAC
rnacentral:rRNA from 1 species